rnacentral:lncRNA from 1 species
UCACCGAAAAAUCACCCAAAAAUCAUCGUAAAACCUCCCAGAACGUUCGAGUGGAGAAGAUAUACUCAGAUAUCACGAAGAAAGUCUCAGUAAAGCAUCCGAUUUAGAUCGGAAUCGUCAUCGACCAUAAGGUCUCAGAAACACCCCCAAAAAAUCUCAAAAGAGACUUCAACCAGAACAACGAGAUGCAGAAAAACAUAGUCGGAUCGUCGUCUAGGCU